rnacentral:rRNA from 1 species
GGGAAGCUUACAUGGCAGUCGAGGAGGCAUCGGGAGGGAAGCUUGCUUUCCUUGCCGGCGACCGGCGCACGGGUGAGUCACUCGUAUGCAACCUGCCCUCUUCAGGGGGACAACCUUCCGAAAGGGAGGCUAAUCCCGCGUAUAUCGGUUCCGGGCAUCCGAGAUCGAGGAAAGAUUCAUCGGAAGAGGAUGGGCAUGCGGCGCAUUAGCUUGACGGCGGGGUAACGGCCCACCGUGGCGACGAUGCGUAGGGGUUCUGAGAGGAAGGUCCCCCACACUGGUACUGAGACACGGACCAGACUCCUACGGGAGGCAGCAGUGAGGAAUAUUGGUCAAUGGGAGAGAUCCUGAACCAGCCAAGCCGCGUGAGGGAAGACGGCCCUAUGGGUUGUAAACCUCUUUUGUCGGAGAACAAAACCCGGGACGUGUCCCGGACUGCGUGUAUCCGAAGAAAAAGCAUCGGCUAACUCCGUGCCAGCAGCCGCGGUAAUACGGAGGAUGCGAGCGUUAUCCGGAUUUAUUGGGUUUAAAGGGUGCGUAGGCGGUCCGUUAAGUCAGCGGUAAAAUUGCGGGGCUCAACCCCGUCGAGCCGUUGAAACUGGCAGACUUGAGUUGGCGAGAAGUACGCGGAAUGCGCGGUGUAGCGGUGAAAUGCAUAGAUAUCGCGCAGAACUCCGAUUGCGAAGGCAGCGUACCGGCGCCAGACUGACGCUGAGGCACGAAAGCGUGGGGAUCGAACAGGAUUAGAUA